AUCUCUAAAUUGACAGUGACAAUGCUAAAACGUGGAUGAAAUUUUAUUUUGCCUUUUCGAUUUGGUGGAUCAACAUUUGUAAGAAUUCCUUGAUGGCUAUCUUCUGGACUACGAGAUUACAAGAUUUAGGAAUAUUGGAACCAAUGAGAACUAUGGGAAGACAUCGACAACCCCAGGCGAAUGGACGGCAUCCUGCAGCAUCCCAAUGAGCAAGAAUAUACAUAAUUCGAAUCAUCACGGAACAUAUGAUGAAAUGGAUUCCCUUAAGGUGGCGGUAUGCUGCUGAGUGACCAAAGAAGUUCAUUGCUAACCAAUGGCGAGAAACUUUGACCCCAUUACGAGAACACAAUCCUUGAUCACCUCAUUGUAUAAAUCGUUUCCCUGACAGGUGCCUUCACCGACUCCCGCUAGAACAGAUUAUACACUGCCUAUGGUGUAUACUUUGUGUUAGCGGGUGUCGGAGAAGCCACCAGUCAGGGAACGAUUUAUACAAUGAGAUGGGCAAGAUCUUAAAUAGUGAUUCCGCUCUUAUGGAUGGCAUUUGACCAUUAAAAAGAAAGUUAUACUCAAAAUCUAAGCGCAUAAAAGAGAACUAGUGAGACUGGAACUUAUAUUAU
rnacentral:lncRNA from 1 species